rnacentral:rRNA from 1 species
UUAACCUCAGAUCAGGCAAGAUUACCCGCUGAAUUUAAGCAUAUUACUAAGCGGAGGAAAAGAAACUAACUAGGAUUCCCCCAGUAAUGGCGAAUGAAGAGGGAACAGCUCAACUUGAAAAUCUCCGUUGUGUUGCAACGGCGAAUUGUAGUUUCGAGAAGUAMUUUCCCGGCGCAUCGAGUUUGCUUAAGUUG